AUGGCAGAGCAUGAGGAUAGAAAAAAGAUACCUUUGGUCCCAGAAAAUCUACUGAAAAAGAGGAAGGCUUAUCAAACCCUCAAAGCCAUCCGGGCAAAGCAGGCACUUUUGGCAAAGAAGGAGGAUUAAUGGAGUGAGUUUACUGGUGCAGAAGACCAUUACAAGACUUCACCUAAAGAAAAUUUUCAGUGGUGUCUUUGUUAGAGUCACCCCUCAGAGUCUGAAAAUGCUACGUAUAGUGGAACCUUAUGUGGCCUGGGGAUUUCCAAAUCUGAAAUCUGUCGGGGAACUCAUCUUGAAACGUGGACAAGCCAAGGUCAAGAAUAAGACCAUUCCUCUGACAGAUAACACAGUCACUGAGGAGCACCUAGGGAGGUUUGGUGUCAUUUGCUUGGAAGACCUCAUUCAUGAAAUUGCCUUCCCGGGGAAAUAUUUCCAGGAGAUCUCAAGGUUUUUACGUCCUUUCCAACUCUCAGUGGCCCGUCAUGCUACCAAGAAUAAAGUGGGCUUCUUCAAAGAGAUCGACUCAGCUGGCUAUCGGGGUGAGUGCAUCAAUCAGCUCAUCCGCCAGCUGAACUAGUCCCUGAAUACCUGAAAGCACGGUGUACUGGAAGCAUGUAUUUUUGGGUUUUGGAAUUAUUACCAAAUAUCUUCAGAGAAGAUGAUUUCUGCUGUCUUCAAAAACAAAGGGAAGGGUCAGGGAAAAUACAGUAGGUUAUGCUUGCGUCAGGAACCUCUCAUCACAGUCCACUCCCAAGGAAAAAUUCCAGUGUUUUCCACUUCAGCUACUGCCACCUCUGAAUUUAGCACAUGCCAUGGAGAAAGGGGUCCUGCUCUGUCAGAUCUUGUAUCAUGGGGUUUAAUUUUGGUGAAUGAAUGAUCCAAGCAUGGACACAAGGAUCCCUAAGAUUCCCGCAACAAUAGACCGAGCUCUGGGGCAUACUUGAAUCUGGGUAUUCACUGGGCUUUGUUUUGAAAAGACUUGACAUAUGUUUAGGAAGAAGAGUGCAAAAGCAAGUGCCCAGUUGUCUCUUCUGUGAAUCCAUGUUCCAAGUUUUCAGUGAUGACUUUGAGAAUGCUCAGAUGUGGCUGGCUGUGUUAAUCUGGUAGCUUUUGUAUCCUAACCUAUAUCUGGUUUAUUCCUUUUCACUAGUUCAGGGUUUGACAACAAAGGACCCCCUUUGCCGGGUACACUCAUGCACUCAAAAUUUUGCUUACAAUUUUAAGGAU